rnacentral:rRNA from 1 species
AACGAACGCUGGCGGCAUGCCUAACACAUGCAAGUCGAACGAGACCUUCGGGUCUAGUGGCGCACGGGUGCGUAGCGCGUGGGAACCUGCCCUUAGGUUCGGAAUAACUCCCCGAAAGGGGUGCUAAUACCGGAUAAUGUCUUCGGACCAAAGAUUUAUCGCCUUUGGAUGGGCCCGCGUUGGAUUAGCUAGUUGGUAGGGUAAAAGCCUACCAAGGCGACGAUCCAUAGCUGGUCUGAGAGGAUGAUCCGCCACACUGGGACUGAGACACGGCCCAGACUCCUACGGGAGGCAGCAGUGGGGAAUAUUGGACAAUGGGCGAAAGCCUGAUCCAGCAAUGCCGCGUGAGUGAUGAAGGCCUUAGGGUUGUAAAGCUCUUUUACCCGGGAUGAUAAUGACAGUACCGGGAGAAUAAGCUCCGGCUAACUCCGUG